rnacentral:lncRNA from 10 species
CAAUAGUCCAGAACACACUUUUCCUGGUGCUUGACUCUAAGUUGCUAUAAAUAUCAGACAUUCUGUCAGCAGCUCAGGGUCACAGCUCAGGUUUCCUGAGCUAAUAUCGCUUGCCCCUAUGCCUUGAGUUGUGUCAGUUAAAGGCAGUGGCUGGGCAGGCAAAGUGAAGUGCAAAAUACAGGUGGCUUAAAUCUCUGAGCUCCAAUUUCCCCUUAUCUGUGAAAUGGAAGGAACCCACAUAGAUUGACUUCUCAGUUUGUGGCGAGGAUUACAUGAACUACUAUGCUUAUAAGCAAAAAUAGAGUCUUUGCCGCCGCGCCGGCGAGCGCCGCCCGGGAGGCAGCGGCUGGAGGAGCGGACGGGCCCCGCGGGGCCCGAGGGCAAGGAGCAGCCGCCUGCCUUGGCC